GUUUCUGUGGCUGAGAGGUUAAGUGCUUGGCUUUUGAACUGAAGAGUCCAGGGUUCGAAUCCUGGUGAAGACU
rnacentral:tRNA from 1 species